GGAGAGAUGGCAGAGUGGUUUAAUGCACACGCCUGGAGAGCGUGAGUACCCGAAAGGUACCGGGGGUUCGAAUCCCCCUCUCUCCGCCA
rnacentral:tRNA from 1 species